UGUUAUGCGUUUUGAACUAGUUGAUUAAGCCCUUUUUUUUCUUUCUUGAUUGUCUUUUAUGACAAAUAAUGACUUGAUUACGAACUCGGAUAUUCAUCCCGAAUUAACGGUAGUAUCCGACCUAAAGACGGCAGGUACAAUUCCCAUUUUGCAAAAUCACCUCCUUCAAUUGACAAUGGAAGUGAUUCUCUCCAUGGUGCUAAAGGCGAAAAAGGAAGGUUACCACCUACUCCCACUAAUAAAGCAGUGAGUUCCUUUGUCUUUUUUUGUUUGUGUUUGUGAUAGUGGGUAGGUAUUUCUGUUAAUCAUCAAAAUAUGAAUACACGAGUUUCUGCACUCCUUGGUGGGUAACUUCAUAUGGUCCUUUUCCCGUGUGUCUUUUUUCUUAAUUUUUUAUGUUAUGUCACCUGAUUGGUUGGGUUGGUUGCAAGAACAAUGGAUCUGAAGUUUUGCCUAAAUUUUAGGUAUCUAACUGCACGUCUUUGAUGAUCAAGGAUUGUAGUUUUCUUCUUGAAAUGCAUAUUUGUACUUUUAUAUCUGUUUUUACUUCCUUUGAUAUUUUUCUGUUUUCUUGUAUUAUGUCUAUCAAAUGUUAGAUGGUAGAAUGCUACGAAAAGAAGACAGUUACCAGUUAUUCAGCUUUAUCUUUAAUUGUAAAUGUAUUGGAUUGCAAGUAAUUAUUAAUCUUUAGAUUUUGUUGGAUAACAAAUAUUUUAAUCAGUAAUGUUUCCUUCAUUGCUAUAAACACUAGUUUUAUUUGUUGAGAAUCACACUACUACUUUGAGAAUAGAAGAGAAAACCUAAUUCCUCAAGAAAAUCAAGAUCAACAAGGUCUACGAAACUCUAUCAACGAGUUCAAACAACAGAUCCAAUUGUGGGUUUGACACCAUUUUUUACCCUAAGAUUUAAAACUAAGAAGUCUGUGAAAUUACUCACUCAGUUUUCCAACAUCACUUACCCCUCUUCCCUUGUCUCUUUUUAUUUUUGUUUUUGCUUCCAUUCCUAUAGCAAUACAAAGCUUUCAGAAAGGUACUAACCGUUCAAAUUAUGCAUUCAGUGGCAACAUGGCGUUUGUGCUUAUACGCAAAAAUUCUUGACAGUUGACACUUUUUCUGAAUCUCUCGUGUACCGUUCAGAGAAGAUUGAGUGUAAUGGUGAUGUUUCUGUAUGGAUGAUGCAUUUUCUAUCUUAUGAUCCUUGUGUUGCCCGUUAGUUGCAGAAUCCUUCCUAAACCUCUUAUAUUCAGUGAGUGGAAAAUGUUAUGACUCAAAAGCAAAAGCAACAAAUUUGAAACUUUUAUAUGGUUUAUCAGCACAUUUUUUGUCCGGUUACUCAUCAUUUAGAGUUUAUGUCAACCAGCAUGAUUUUCAAUGCUGGAUUCUUUGACAAUGUUAGAUAGGAUUGAUUUGCAACAUGUUUUCCUCGGGGCAGCAUGGUCCAUCGUAGUAUGCAAAAUACUGAAAAUUAUCACCAGUUACUUGAAAGUUUAUUAAGAUAACCUGUGUUUGACUCACAUUUAUCAUCAUUUGAGCCACUAAUUGUAUAUUUUGUAUACCAUGUUUGUAAUUGAAAUGUAGUUUAUCCAGUGGCACGUUUAGGGUGAAAAAGGCUAAUUGAUUAGUGAGUUUUGUAUACCAUGUUUGUAACAAAAAAAUUUAAUACUAUUUCCCUACCUCAACAGGGCAGAAUCUUGUGGAAUUUGAGAGACCUCUGAUUCUGAAAUGCCAUAACUUCCCUUUAGAAUACAACAAAUUCUCAUCACACAAGAACUCCCAUGAAAACCAUUUCUCUAUGAUACGAUCUACAUCAUGUACUAUUACAUCUGAAGUAUUCCCUGCUCUUGCUAGAACACUAGUAGUGUAAAUGGACCCCAUCCUGCCAGGUGAUUCUGGUGAACCCCCACUGGGUCCAUCUACCACCAUGACAUCCCAGUUCUUUUCAUACACUUGUAAUGGCAAGUUUUUCAAUGCAAGCUUGCAUUUUGAUUUUUGAAGGAAUCUAGGAUUUGGCACGCAUGCAGCUGGGUUCUGCCUUGCGUGCUGGAGAAGUUUGUAACCUGCUUUUGUUGGCGUGUUAUACUCAAAUCUGUAUAUUUGAGUGUUGUUGGAGUUUAUUCUUACCUUGCUUAUUUUAUCAGGGUCAUCGUCAAGAAAGAUGGUGCUACCAGCAGCAUUCAUGUUUGAGAGGAUGAGGUACUGGGGUUGAAAUCCAAAUAUAAGGAGGUUGCAUGGGGAUUUAAGAGCAAUGAGAUCUGAAAGAACUUUGAAUUCUUUCUCAGUCAGGGUG
rnacentral:lncRNA from 1 species